GUGUCUCUUUGGAAGGGUGAAGUGAUGACAGCGACCUUUUUUUUAUCCCUUCUUAAUUUAUUUUUUUUAACCUGUGUGGUGUUAGUUGACCUUACUGAGUUGAGGUUGGGAAACUAGCUUUUUUUUUUCAUUAUUUUUUCUAACUGUGGUCUGAGGUUGUUUUAAGUUUCUGCUGGUUCAAAAAGACUUCAGUUUCCUUGUGGUGGGUGAUCUGGGAAGGUGUUGAGUGACCAAGUAAGUGUGUGUGUGGUUGGUGGGUGAUCUGGGAAGGUGUUGAGUGACCAAGUGAGUGUGUGUGUGGUUGGUGGGUGAUCUGGGAAGGUGUUGAGUGACCAAGUAAGUGUGUGUGUGGUUGGUGGGUGAUCUGGGAAGGUGUUGAGUGACCAAGUAAGUGUGUGUGUGGUUGGUGGGUGAUCUGGGAAGGUGUUGAGUGUAUGUGGUUUGUGGUGACAGUGUUGGUGGGUAGGAAGUUGAAGGGAAGGAACAAAAAAUAAGGAAAUUGACCUGUCUUUCGGCCACAACUCUCGACACUUUUGUGGGAGCAGUGAGUAGCAGGCUUUUUUUAUUUAUUUAUUUAUUUUUUUUUUUUUCCUAUUUGUUGCCCUUGAACUGUUUCCUCAACUGUAAAAAAAACAAAAAACCACACACACACACUUAAAGAUCAAUAAGCUGGUUUGUAUGUGUCUGGCAGGAAGGGAGUUUGCUCAGUUUAUUAUUAUUAUUAUUAUUAUUAUUAUUAUUAUUAUUAUUAUUAUUAUUGUUACUACUACAAUUUAUUUUUAUUAUUGAUGUAGCUUGUG